rnacentral:rRNA from 1 species
CAGGGAAUCUUGCGCAAUGGGCGAAAGCCUGACGCAGCGACGCCGCGUGGGGGAUGAAGGCCUUCGGGUUGUAAACCCCUUUCAGGAGGGAAGAAAUUGACGGUACCUCCAAAAGAAGGACCGGCCAACUACGUGCCAGCAGCCGCGGUAAUACGUAGGGUCCUAGCGUUAUCCGGAAUCAUUGGGCGUAAAGAGCUCGUAGGCGGUUCAGCAAGUCGGCUGUGAAAGUCCGAGGCUCAACCUCGGAAUUGCAGUCGAUACUGCUGUGACUUGAGUUCGGUAGAGGUGAGUGGAAUUCUCGGUGUAGCGGUGGAAUGCGCAGAUAUCGAGAGGAACACCCGUAGCGAAGGCGGCUCACUGGGCCGAUACUGACGCUGAGGAGCGAAAGCGUGGGGAGCAAACAGGAUUAGAUACCCCUGUAGUCC